GAGUAAUGUCUGGGAAACUGCCUGAUGGAGGGGGAUAACUACUGGAAACGGUGGCUAAUACCGCAUAACGUCGCAAGACCAAAGAGGGGGACCUUCGGGCCUCUUGCCAUCAGAUGUGCCCAGAUGGGAUUAGCUUGUUGGUGAGGUAACGGCUCACCAAGGCGACGAUCCCUAGCUGGUCUGAGAGGAUGACCAGCCACACUGGAACUGAGACACGGUCCAGACUCCUACGGGAGGCAGCAGUGGGGAAUAUUGCACAAUGGGCGCAAGCCUGAUGCAGCCAUGCCGCGUGUAUGAAGAAGGCCUUCGGGUUGUAAAGUACUU
rnacentral:rRNA from 39 species